AUUGAACGCUGGCGGCAGGCCUAACACAUGCAAGUCGAGCGGAUGACGGGAGCUUGCUCCUGGAUUCAGCGGCGGACGGGUGAGUGAUGCCUAGGAAUCUGCCUGGUAGUGGGGGACAACGUUUCGAAAGGAACGCUAAUACCGCAUACGUCCUACGGGAGAAAGCAGGGGACCUUCGGGCCUUGCGCUAUCAGAUGAGCCUAGGUCGGAUUAGCUAGUUGGUGAGGUAAUGGCUCACCAAGGCGACGAUCUGUAACUGGUCUGAGAGGAUGAUCAGUCACACUGGAACUGAGACACGGUCCAGACUCCUACGGGAGGCAGCAGUGGGGAAUAUUGGACAAUGGGCGAAAGCCUGAUCCAGCCAUGCCGCGUGUGUGAAGAAGGUCUUCGGAUUGUAAAGCACUUUAAGUUGGGAGGAAGGGCAGUAAGCGAAUACCUUGCUGUUUUGACGUUACCGACAGAAUAAGCACCGGCUAACUCUGUGCCAGCCGCCGCAGUAACAC
rnacentral:rRNA from 1 species